CUCUCCAAGGACUUGACACUAUAAACAAGACAAAUUUUGUCUCAAUUUUUCCAACCAAAUCAGUUAACAAAACUGAAAACAAUCACCACCAUUGCCGCCCUCUAUAAGCACAAACAAACCAAAUUUCUGAAUCAAAAAUCAAACCAAAAACCAAGUUUCCCCCCCCCCUUUUGUUUCUCUGAUUUGAACCAACCACCACCACCAUAACCACCGACUACCACCGUGACAUCCCCCACCACCAUCCACCACCAUUAACACCAGACCAACCACCCGACCACCACUGUACCCCACCGUACUUCCCCCAGCCCUCCCCCUCUUUCGUCGCAUCUCCCCAGCUCCAUCUCCCCUUUCCCUGUCGCACUGCCGCGAACCACCACAUCACGCAACCACAACCACCAUCAUCAAUAAAUUAUUGUCCAAGAUCCCCGGCGAGCCGCCGGCAAGGACCAACCCGAGACACCCCUCCCUCAAAAAUACCCCUACCCUGCUUUCCCCUCCUCCGUUCGACCACCAUUUUCUCCCUUCAUCGCGGCUCUGCCUCCGCGAACCCUCACACCAUCACCGUCGCCUCCGGCGCGGUUUGCGCUGCGGCACCGCCCAGCUCAGGCGGCCACCUCCUCUGCUCUCCUCCUCUCCUCCUGCUUUGCCUUCCCCUGUUCCUCCCCUCUCUCUUUUGGUCGAAUCCCAGGAAACCAAAAACCCAAUUACGUGACCUUAUUUUAUUGCUUUAACAAACCCAAAUCACAAGCUGGCCCAACUCUAGAUCUUUGGGCUUUGGAAAUCGGACUUGGAGCUCAGGAAGAACGAUCCAUCAGACGGGAAAUAUAAAACUACGGUUGAGGUACUGUGGGGAUCGAUGGAAAUGAGUAGAGGCAAGGAAUUUUACUUUAAUAAUAUUCACCUAGUUUAUGCUUAAAGUUAUAAUAGUUUAAUUAAAGACUUUUUAGUAAGUUAUGUACUUUUAUUUUGAGAAUAUAAAGGAUUAUUAUAUUAAAUUGAAGGUUUUUAUGGCUUAUGUAUGAUGUUGCCUUGUAAUUUCCAAGAGGGAAUUACGGCAGGUAAUGUCCCGACCAAAUUAGGUUAAUUCCGCUGCUAAUUAUGCUUUAAUAUUUGAAUUAGAGGUCGGGGCGUUACAGUUUAGCAAUGAAACUAAUUAGUUAAGCACUAGAACUAAUUAGUUAGCAAUCAAAGUGAUUUUUUCGGUAAGACGAUCUUACACAAAAGUUAUCGUUUAAUUAGUAUCGAUUAUAGACUUUAUUAACCAUUCACAAGUAUAUAUUCCGCAAGAACUAAUUGGUUGUUUGGUUCACGUAGGAUAUAGAAGUUUCCACGAAAUUUAACUUUUAUGGGACGUAAAUUCCAUAAUUAAAUUUAUUCGAAUUUCCUAAAGUUUUUUAAUUGACCGAUUUCCUAAAGUAUUUUAAUUGAUGGGGAAGUAAUUUCGCAUGACAAUUUCUACACACAGGUGGGGGUUUGCUUUUGUCAAGAAAGCAAAUUCCCAAGUGUUGUGUUAAAUGGAAACUUUUUUAUCAAUUGAACGUUCACAUACCUUGCAUAUUUAGGAACUCUCACUUCGUACAAUUUUUUGUUUUGUUUUCUUUGGCAUGCCAAACAAUACGGAGUAUCUAGAGCUGUCAAAAAUUGACCCGACCUGAAAACCCGACCUGAACCGACCGAAUCCGUAACCGACCGUGACCCGAAAUUACGGUAAAUCAGGUAACCCGAAACCCGACCUGUACCCGACCCGAAAAAACCGAUAAUCGAUUUUGACCCGAUGUUGUAACACCCGAACCCGACACCCGACCCAAAAAUGACCGAUAACCGAACUGACCCGACCGAACAAUGACCCGAACCCGAUUCGAUACCCGACCCGAUGUCAACCCAAAACCGAUUGUAACUCGAUGAAACCUGCUAUUGACCCGACCUGUGACAACCCGCUACCCGAUUUACCCGAGUUAUCAAUGACACGACCAAAUAUUAACUUCAACGAUAAAUCUAUUUUAAUUAUUUAUUGCUAGGUACUGAAAAAUUUAACUCUAAAAUAAGUUAAACAAAAUUUUUUAGAAUAUAAAAUAAUUAAAAUGUAUAUGUUAAUUAUCAGACCCGAGUUUGACCCGUCCCUGAGAGUGACCCGACCUGAAUUCUAUUUGAUCUGAUUAUUAUCCGAUCCAAACUAAUACACGAACCCGAAAAUAAUUGUGUUGCAAACCGACUUAAACCCGACUCGAUAAGACCCGAACCCGAAAUUACCUGCUACAAACCGACUUAAACCCGACCCGAUAAGACCCGAACCCGAAAUCAAACCUGGCCGAAAUGUGACCCGAUCCGAACCCGACCUGAACCCGAGAUAGGAAAAAACCCGACAUGACCCGACCUGAAAUCGACCCGACCGAACCCGAACUCAACCCGGAUGGAAUAUUGACCCGACACGACCCGACCUGAUCAUGACCUGAGACCCGGGAUGACCCGACCCAAACCCGACCCGAUGACCUGUUUUGACAGCUCUAGGAGUACCUAACAAUGUGUAGAGUUGAACUCUCCCAAAUACUACUCCCUUCGUCAUUUUUUGUUUUUUACGUUUGUUUUGGGUGUCUUAAAAUGUUAUUUACGUUUCCUUUUAUACUAUCACAUAAAUGCUUUAAUAUUCUAUCAAAAUUUGUGUUC